rnacentral:lncRNA from 1 species
CGCAGACCAUGUAAUUAAGCUGCGUUCUGCAGCCAGGGCAAGACAGAAGAUGGGCGUUCCAGGCAGAGAAGAGCUGCCCAGUCACGUGCUCUGCUCCACCUGGUCAGAGACCCUUGACCUUUAGAAGACUGGACCUGAGGGCGUGGCUGGUGGACCUGAGGGCGUGGAUGGUGGACCUGGCCACCCAGCUGUAGCUUUUUGGGUUCCUGUGGUCCCAUUUCUUGGGUCAAUCUCACACCUGGCAGCUCCCAGGAAGACACCCCCAGGCCCCUCACACUCCUGGGGGCAGCUGGAAUUGGCUUCAGGGCGGGACCAGGGGCCCCAUGGGUGUUUGGAAUCCCUGAUCUGGGUCAGGCACCGGCAGCAGGAUUCCAGCCUGGCCUGGACUCUGGUGUGUCCCGUUUGAAGAAACCCCGCCCUGUGAAAGUUCAAGUUUAGCAUCCAAUGACCCAUUUAAGAGGUUUGCUGAGCCACGUCACAGGAGGGUCUGGGUGCAAACGGAGGUGGCAACACACAGAGCGAGCCUUGAGCACCCAGGUUACCCCCAGGACCUCCAGUCUGGCUUGGGGGCUCCUGCUGUCCUGUGGAGCAGCCCCCUGGGAUCAGGGACGGGGCUGAGCUGGAGAGUGUGCAGGAUU